GACGAACGCUGGCGGCGUGCUUAACACAUGCAAGUCGAACGCUGAAGCCUAGCUUGCUGGGUGGAUGAGUGGCGAACGGGUGAGUAACACGUGAGUAACCUGCCCUCUUCUUUGGGAUAACGCCCGGAAACGGGUGCUAAUACUGGAUAUUCACUGAUCUUCGCAUGGGGGUUGGUGGAAAGGUUUUUUCUGGUGGGGGAUGGGCUCGCGGCCUAUCAGCUUGUUGGUGGGGUGAUGGCCUACCAAGGCUUUGACGGGUAGCCGGCCUGAGAGGGUGACCGGUCACAUUGGGACUGAGAUACGGCCCAGACUCCUACGGGAGGCAGCAGUGGGGAAUAUUGCACAAUGGGCGAAAGCCUGAUGCAGCGACGCCGCGUGAGGGAUGGAGGCCUUCGGGUUGUAAACCUCUUUCGCUCAUGGUCAAGCCGCAGCUUUGGGUUGUGGUGAGGGUAGUGGGUAAAGAAGCGCCGGCUAACUACGUGCCAGCAGCCGCGGUAAUACGUAGGGCGCGAGCGUUGUCCGGAAUUAUUGGGCGUAAAGGGCUUGUAGGCGGUUGGUCGCGUCUGCCGUGAAAUCCUCUGGCUUAACUGGGGGCGUGCGGUGGGUACGGGCUGACUUGAGUGCGGUAGGGGAGACUGGAACUCCUGGUGUAGCGGUGGAAUGCGCAGAUAUCAGGAAGAACACCGGUGGCGAAGGCGGGUCUCUGGGCCGUUACUGACGCUGAGGAGCGAAAGCGUGGGGAGCAAACAGG
rnacentral:rRNA from 1 species